AUACGGGAGGCAGCAGUGGGGAAUAUUGGGCAAUGGGCGAAAGCCUGACCCAGCAACGCCGCGUGAUUGAAGAAGGUCUUCGGAUUGUAAAGAUCUGUCCUAUGGGAAGAAAAAAAUGACGGUACCAUAGGAGGAAGCCCCGGCUAACUACGUGCCAGCAGCCGCGGUAAUACGUAGGGGGCAAGCGUUGUCCGGAUUUACUGGGCGUAAAGGGUGCGUAGGCGGUAUCUUAAGUCAGAUGUGAAAUAUCCAUGCUUAACAUGGAGGGUGCAUUUGAAACUGGGAUACUUGAGUGCAGGAGAGGAAAGUGGAAUUCCUAGUGUAGCGGUGAAAUGCGUAGAUAUUAGGAGGAACACCAGUGGCGAAGGCGACUUUCUGGACUGUAACUGACGCUGAGGCACGAAAGCGUGGGGAGCAAACAGGAUUAGAUACCCCGGUAGC
rnacentral:rRNA from 1 species